GUAGGGAAUCUUCGGCAAUGGACGAAAGUCUGACCGAGCAACGCCGCGUGAGUGAAGAAGGUUUUCGGAUCGUAAAACUCUGUUGGUAGAGAAGAACGUUGGUGAGAGUGGAAAGCUCAUCAAGUGACGGUAACUACCCAGAAAGGGACGGCUAACUACGUGCCAGCAGCCGCGGUAAUACGUAGGUCCCGAGCGUUGUCCGGAUUUAUUGGGCGUAAAGCGAGCGCAGGUGGUUUAUUAAGUCUGGUGUAAAAGGCAGUGGCUCAACCAUUGUAUGCAUUGGAAACUGGUAGACUUGAGUGCAGGAGAGGAGAGUGGAAUUCCAUGUGUAGCGGUGAAAUGCGUAGAUAUAUGGAGGAACACCGGUGGCGAAAGCGGCUCUCUGGCCUGUAACUGACACUGAGGCUCGAAAGCGUGGGGAGCAAACAGGAUUAGAUACCCGAGUAGUCC
rnacentral:rRNA from 1 species